UUCUUGGUGGUCCAACGGCUAAGACACGCGCCUGUCAUUCAGUUCGAAUUUCGAGCUCCGACCGCGCGUAACCCGGGUUCGACUCCCGGCCAGGAAG
rfam:Exidia glandulosa HHB12029 unplaced genomic scaffold EXIGLscaffold_116, whole genome shotgun sequence.